rnacentral:rRNA from 1 species
UACGGGGGGGGGCUAGCGUUGUUCGGAAUUACUGGGCGUAAAGGGCGCGUAGGCGGUCUGCUAAGUUGGAUGUGAAAACUCUGGGCUUAACCCAGAGCCUGCAUUCAAUACUGACAGGCUAGAGUUCUGGAGGGGAUAGCGGAAUUCCUGGUGUAGCGGUGAAAUGCGUAGAUAUCAAGAGGAACACCUGAGGUGAAGACGGGUUGCUGGGCCAACACUGACGCUGAUGCGCGAAAGCCAGGGGAGCAAACGGG